UUUACAAUGGAGAGUUUGAUCCUGGCUCAGGAUGAACGCUAGCGGCAGGCCUAAUACAUGCAAGUCGAACGGUUAGUAGCAAUACUAAUAGUGGCGCACGGGUGCGUAACA
rnacentral:rRNA from 1 species